rfam:Drosophila melanogaster chromosome 3R.
GGCCGCACGGAUUCCAGUGCAUAUCUUAGUGAUACUCCAGUUAACUCUAUACUUUCCCUGCAAUACGCUAUUCGCCUUAGAUGUAUCUGGGUGGCUGCUCCACUAAAGCCCGGGAAUAUGCAACCAGUUACAUUUGAGGCCAUUUGGGCUUAAGCGUAUUCCAUGGAAAGUUAUCGUCCCACAUUUCGGAAAUUAUAUUCCGAGCCAGCAAGAAAAUCUUCUCUGUUACAAUUUGACAUAGCUAAAAACUGUACUAAUCAAAAUGAAAAAUGUUUCUCUUGGGCGUAAUCUCAUACAAUGAUUACCCUUAAAGAUCGAACAUUUAAACAAUAAUAUUUGAUAUGAUAUUUUCAAUUUCUAUGCUAUGCCAAAGUGUCUGACAUAAUCAAACAUUUGCGCAUUCUUUGACCAAGAAUAGUCAGCAAAUUGUAUUUUCAAUCAAUGCAGACCAUUUGUUUCAGAUUCGGAGAUUUUUUGCUGCCAAACGGAAUAACUAUCAUAGCUCACAUUCUAUUUACAUCACUAAGAAGAGCAUUGCAAUCUGUUAGGCC